UUAAGCAAUUCUUCAAACUGGCAUUAUACUUUUUUUUUGUGCUUCCGCCACCAAUGUUCUUAAUUUUUCCUAAUACUAAUAAUUUUCUUCUUUUGUCUUUAUUUUUUUGGGAUAUUUAUUCCUAAUACUAAUAAUUUUCUUCUUUUGUCUUUGUUUUUUUGGGAUAUUUAUCCUUUUUAUUUACGCAGCUCUUAACCUUCCACAUGCUGAUUUCCGGACUUCCAUCCUAAAAAUUUUCCGACCUACUUCCCACCAAAAAGAUUUCCGACCUACAUCCCACACUUGCUUCCUUUUGAUCGGAAUCCGGCUAACCACUGGUAAUUUCCCUUCUUCUUUCUCAUGUCUCCUUUGGGUUACGUUAUUUUCUUUUACAAUAAUCAUGCUUCUCGUUGUAAUUAAUGACGUUUCUUUCCAAAUUGUGAACGGCAACGCCUUGGUAUGAGUUCUUCACGUUGAAAACGUUGUGCUUCUGAACUAUUGCUUGCCCGCGCUGCUUCUUCGUCGUCUACCGUUCGGAACCGGACUAGACUUCGUGCUUUUCCUUCUUGCAGUGGCGCCUAUGAUGCACUUCUACUGAAGAAGUUAUCAUCAUGUGUUUUGUGGAGUUCUAAGGCCUGGUCGUGCUUGCGUUUUUGGAAAACAAAUCUAGACACAAGUGGAGGAAAAGUCAAAGAAAGAAAACUAUGAAAAGAAUGAAGGAUCAAAUUAAUAAUGUUGAGGAUAAAUUUGGCAGUAUGGUGAUUGCAAUUUUGGGCAAGCUUGACGUUCAUUGCUUAUAGUAAUAAAAGUUUCAUGUAUGUUAUUAUUUCUGCAGUUUCAUGUAUCAUGAACAGAAUAUUUUC